rnacentral:rRNA from 1 species
GCUACCAUGCAGUCGAGCGGAACGACACUAACAAUCGUUCGGGUGCGUUAAUGGGCGUCGAGCGGCGUACGGGUGAGUAAUGCCUAGGAAAUUGCCUUGAUGUGGGGGAUAACCAUUGGAAACGAUGGCUAAUACCGCAUGAUGCCUACGGGCCAAAGAGGGGGACCUUCGGGCCUCUCGCGUCAAGAUAUGCCUAGGUGGGAUUAGCUAGUUGGUGAGGUAAUGGCUCACCACGGCGACGAUCCCUAGCUGGUCUGAGACGAUGAUCAGCCACACUGGAACUGAGACACGGUCCAGACUCCUACAGGAGGCAGCA